rnacentral:rRNA from 1 species
AGAAUCAACGCUGGCGGCGUGCCUAACACAUGCAAGUCGAACGAGAAAGUGGAGCAAUCCAUGAGUAAAGUGGCGACCGGGUGAGUAACACGUGACUAACCUACCUUCGAGUGGGGGAUAACCUCGGGAAACCGGGCUAAUACCGCAUAACAUCUUUGAAGUGGAAAUUUCGGAGAUCAAAGGAGCAAUUCGCUGGAAGAGGGGGUCGCGGCUGAUUAGCUAGUUGGCGGGGUAACGCCCACCAAGGCUUAGAUCGGUA